GUCGAGAAUCUUUCACAAUGGGGGCAACCCUGAUGGAGCGACGCCGCGUGGAGGAUAAGGUCUUCGGAUUGUAAACUCCUGUCAUGCGUGAACAAGGUUGCUUGGUUAAUACCUGGGCAAAUUGAUGGUAACGCAAGAGGAAGAGACGGCUAACUCUGUGCCAGCAGCCGCGGUAAUACAGAGGUCUCAAGCGUUGUUCGGAAUCACUGGGCGUAAAGGGUGCGUAGGUGGCGUGGUAAGUCAGAUGUGAAAGCCCGGGGCUCAACCUCGGAACUGCAUCCGAUACUGCCAUGCUAGAGUACUGGAGAGGUGACUAGAAUUCUCGGUGUAGCAGUGAAAUGCGUAGAUAUCGAGAGGAAUACCAGAGGCGUAGGCAGGUCACUGGACAGUUACUGACACUGAGGCACGAAGGCCAGGGGAGCGAACGGGAUUAGAUACCCUAGUAGUCC
rnacentral:rRNA from 1 species